GCAGUAGCCGCGGGAAAACGUAGGGUGCAAGCGUUAAUCGGAAUUACUGGGCGUAAAGCGUGCGCAGGCGGCUAUGCAAGACAGAUGUGAAAUCCCCGGGCUCAACCCGGGAACUGCAUUUGUGACUGCAUGGCUAGAGUACGGUAGAGGGGGAUGGAAUUCCGCGUGUAGCAGGGAAAUGCGUAGAUAUGCGGAGGAACACCGAUGGCGAAGGCAAUCCCCUGGACCUGUACUGACGCUCAUGCACGAAAGCGUGGGGAGCAAACAGGAUUAGAUACCCCUGUAGUCCCUGUCUCUUAUAC
rnacentral:rRNA from 1 species